rnacentral:lncRNA from 10 species
GGGCUGAUGUUGCUGGGGAAAGUAGUCCAGCCUGGCUUGCCAGAGGAUUUAAUAGUUUCUUGUGUGUAAAUCAGAGGCUGAAUCAUAGGAAAUUACUCAUAUUUGACCGUAUUUUACCUAUAAAAACAACAGUUUCAUAUGAUACAACCUAUUUGUUGACUUGACUAGCUAGCUUCGUGGCAAAAAAGAAGUAAAAGGAAUCAUAAUGGUCCGCAGGGCAUUAACAACCUAAGUAAAACUUUCACUGGGACAGGAAUAGACAAAGGAGACACUCUCCAAUAAUUAGAAAAUAAAGAGCAACUACAAUUAUUUGUGAA